UCCCCAUUUUCUUUAACACAUAAACCCUAGUCCCCUCUCUCUCUUUCGUUUUCUUUCGCAAUCCCCAUUUCCCUUCACCAAUGGCCGCCGCAGUAGCUGCUGUGCGCCCCCUUGUCACUGUCCAAUCCCUCGAAGGUGACAUGGCCACCGAUACCAUCACCACCGUCGCAUUGCCCGAUGUUAUGAAAGCCUCCAUCAGACCCGACAUCGUAAACUUCGUCCACGCCCAGAUCUCCAACAACAAGCGCCAGCCCUACGCCGUGUCCAAGAAGGCCGGACACCAGACCUCAGCCGAGUCCUGGGGUACCGGACGCGCCGUGUCUCGUAUCCCCCGUGUCCCCGGCGGUGGUACUCACCGUGCCGGUCAGGGAGCCUUCGGAAACAUGUGCCGUGGUGGUCGCAUGUUCGCUCCUACCAAGAUCUGGCGCCGAUGGCAUAGGAGAGUCAACGUGAACCAGAAGCGAUACGCCAUCGUUUCGGCCAUUGCUGCUUCUGCCAUCCCAUCUCUUGUUCAAGCUCGUGGUCACAGAAUCGAGUCUGUUCCAGAGUUCCCACUGGUUAUCAGUGACUCAGCUGAGAGCUUGGAGAAGACCUCUGCUGCUCUCAAGGCUUUGAAGCAGAUCGGAGCUGCCCCCGAUGCCGAUAAGGCGAAGGAGAGCCAUUCGAUCCGUCCUGGGAAAGGUAAGAUGAGGAACCGCCGCUACAUUAACAGGAAGGGUCCUCUUCUUGUGUAUGGUUCCGAAGGCGCGAAGCUCGUGAAGGCGUUCAGGAACAUUCCCGGGAUUGAUAUUGUGAAUGUGGAGAGGUUGAAUCUGUUGAAGCUAGCUCCUGGUGGCCACCUUGGGAGGUUUGUGAUUUGGACCAAGUCGGCUUUCGAGAAGCUCGAUUCGAUCUAUGGGUCGUUCGAUAAGGCCUCUGAGAAGAAGAAGGGGUAUGUUCUACCUAGGUCCAAGAUGUUGAAUGCUGAUUUGGCUAGGAUUAUCAACUCUGAUGAGGUGCAGAGCGUUGUGAAGCCAAUCAAGAAGGAAGUGAAGAGGGCUCCAUUGAAGAAGAACCCACUCAAGAACCUGAACGCAAUGUUGAAGCUCAACCCAUAUGCUAAGACCGCGAGGAGGAUGUCCCUUUUGGCUGAGGCUGAUCGUGUUAAGGCCAAGAAGGAGAAGCUCGAGAAGAAGCGGUCGCCAAUCACGAAGGAGGAGGCUUCUGCCAUCAAGACUGCCGGAAAAGCUUGGUACCAGACUAUGAUCUCCGAUAGUGAUUACACAGAGUUUGAGGUUUUCACCAAGUGGCUUGGAGUUUCCCAGUGAUUUACCAUUCUGUUUUUGAAUAUCCUGUAGACCUCAAUUUAUUUGGUGUUUGUUUAUCUAGAGUUUUUAUAAUUUUUUUUUUACAGUUUUGAGACAUGAUAGUUACUAGGUGGGAGGAAAUGGGUGGAAUAAGAUAUUUCCUAAAUAUGUUUUUUUACCUCCCACUUAUUGCUAUCCAUUUCUGCCAAGGACGAAGAGCUUUUGUUUUUGCAACUGAAAUUAAAUAUUUUAGCUUUUGCGUGCAAUAGACCUAACUAAUGUUGCGCUAUGCAAUACUACUAUAUUUUGUUUCA